rnacentral:rRNA from 1 species
UACGGAGGGCGCAAGCGUUGCUCGGAAUUACUGGGCGUAAAGCGCGUGCAGGCGGUCGAGUAAGUCGGUUGUGAAAUCCCCAGGCUCAACCUGGGAACUGCAUCCGCAACUGCUCGGCUAGAGUCCCGGAGAGGGAGGCGGAACUCCCAGUGUAGGGGUGAAAUCCGUAGAUAUUGGGAAGAACACCGGCGGCGAAAGCGGCCUCCUGGACGGUGACUGACGCUGUGACGCGAAAGCGUCGUGAGCAAACAGG